rnacentral:rRNA from 1 species
CGUAGGUGGCGAGCGUUGUCCGGAAUUACUGGGUGUAAAGGGCGCGUAGGCGGGAAUGCAAGUCAGAUGUGAAAUCCCAAGGCUUAACCUUGGAACUGCAUCUGAAACUGUAUUUCUUGAGUGUCGGAGAGGAAAGCGGAAUUCCCCGUGUAGCGGUGAAAUGCGUAGAUAUGGGGAGGAACACCGGUGGCGAAGGCGGCUUUCUGGACGAUAACUGACGCUGAGGCGCGAAAGCGUGGGUAGCAAACAGGAUUAGAUACCCUGGUAGUCCACGCUGUAAACGAUGGAUACUAGGUGUAGGAGGUAUCGACCCCUCCUGUGCCGCAGUUAACACAAUAAGUAUCCCACCUGGGGAGUACGGCCGCAAGGCUG